rnacentral:rRNA from 1 species
ACGUCUACUAUUAGACUACCCCGUAGUCCCAGCCGUAAACUAUGCGCGUUAGGUGUAUCGGUGACCACGAGUUACCGAGGUGCCGAAGGGAAACCGUGAAACGUGCCGCCUGGGAAGUACGGUCGCAAGGCUGAAACUCAAAGGAAUUGGCGGGGAGCACCACAACAGGUGGAGCCUGCGGUUUAAUUGGACUCAACGCCGGGAAGCUCACCGGAUAAGACAGCGGAAUGAUUGCCGGGCUGAAGACUCUGCAUGACUAGCUG